GCCUGGGUAGCUCAGUUGGUUGGGUGUCUGACUUCGGUUCAGGUCAUGAUCUCACAGUUCGUGGGUUUGAGCCCCGCAUUGGGCU
rnacentral:tRNA from 1 species